rnacentral:rRNA from 1 species
UACGUAGGGGGCAAGCGUUGUCCGGAAUCAUUGGGCGUAAAGCGCGUGUAGGCGGUUACGUAAGUCUGCUGUGAAAGUCGGAGGCUCAACCUUCGAAAGCCGGUGGAUACUGCGUGACUAGAGUACGGAAGAGGAGAGUGGAAUUCCUGGUGUAGCGGUGAAAUGCGCAGAUAUCAGGAGGAACACCGGUGGCGAAGGCGGUUCUCUGGGCCUUACCUGACGCUGAGGAGCGAAAGCGUGGGAGCAAACAGG